rnacentral:misc_RNA from 1 species
GUAUUUAUAGCGCAUCUUCUUCCUUUUUUCCCCCUUAUCGAAGUUUGUGGUUCUAUUGGAAUUGAGUUUUUGAAUGUCUUCAAAUUUACGCCCUAGUUCCUGUUUACUUUGAUUUCUAAUUUAAGUUCAUGCAGAAAAUUCUUCCCUCUUGUGUAUGCAAUUCUGUCAAUUCUUAUGCAAUUUCAAUUUCUACAUAUUUCCAACAACUUUGAGAAGGGCCCUAAUAUAUAUCUGGUUCUAUUGUUUUCUUUUAAUUCUUGACAAAUGACAGAAUUACAUUAUUCUUCUCCUCUGGUUUAUAAUAUCUGUUUGACAUUGGAAUUAAUGAUGUUUGAUUAGGCUGGCGACCUAAUUUAGGCCAUUACUUAAGGCACUUGCAAAUUUUACAUACUUAGUAUUGGCAUGUUUAGCCUGUAUACUGAGGACAUUCCAAAUUGUAAGAAUUGUAGUUCUCCUUUGUUAUUUGUAACCUCUCAAUAUUGAAAGCAAGAAUGUGUUCUAUUGGUGCUCUAAGCAAAAAAAUUUGAACAAAAAUUGCCAGUUUCUU